AGCGAACGCUGGCGGCAUGCCUAACACAUGCAAGUCGCACGGGGGGGCUUCGGCCUCCCAGUGGCGGACGGGUGAGGAACGCGUAGGGACCUGUCGAGGGGUGGGGGAUAACCGCGGGAAACUGCGGCUAAUACCGCAUGACGCCGCGGCGUGACAGCCGGGGCCAAAGGCGAAAGCCGCCCGCCGAGGGGCCUGCGUCCGAUUAGCUGGUUGGCGGGGUAGCGGCCCACCAAGGCGUCGAUCGGUAGCUGGUCUGAGAGGGUAAUCAGCCACACCGGGACGGGGCCACGGCCAGAACUCCUAGGGGGGGAAGAAGGGGGGAAAGUGGGAAAAUGGGCGAAAGCCUGAUCCGGCAAUGCGGGGUGGGUGAAGAAGGUCUUGGGAUUGUAAGGCCCUUUCGGCGGGGACGAUGGUGACGGUACCCGCAGAAGAGGCCCCGGCUAACUUCGU
rnacentral:rRNA from 1 species